UCAGUAGCUGACUGGAUAACGCGAUGGCUUUUGAAGCGAAAGUUACUGGGUUCGAGUCCCAGAGUGA
rnacentral:tRNA from 1 species